rnacentral:lncRNA from 1 species
AAAAAAAAAAAAAAUAAAAUAAAAAAAUACAUGCCAAACUACUUUAAAAUAUCCGAAAAACAAGAAUCUCCAUAUUCAUUCUGCUUACUAUUUGGCGACUUUAUACAGCUUCAGAAACUCAUGUGGGAUUAAAAUAGUGAAGACUGGCCAUUAAUCAUCUGACCUCCAUAGAGCUUUCCUAAUCCCGCCGCCCACAACCAGCCAAGCGCCGCACAGCACACACCCUGGCCGGAGUGAGCCUGAGUGAGCAUACUGAAAGGCCAUGGGUCACCUCGAGCGUAGUAACCAUGCGCACUAUCCAGCCAGGCCUUGGAGCACGACGUCACCAACUGGUCUAAGCAGCUUCCAUAUUGCAUGAGCUUUACUUACUUGUAUAAUUCCAUCACCAAAAAAUAGAUGCAGGAAUAGAUAAAUGAAGAAAAAUACCUCAGAAAAAUUGCAUGAACUCUCCUUACUUACUCCAUCAGCAAAAAAUAAAUGAAGAUAUAGAUUAAAAGAAGAAAAAUACCUCAUAAUUUUUCCUAUCUCUUCUUUUCUUUCAUUUCUUUCAUACAUGUAAACUCAAACGAUGCGCCUUCAUAAUGAUAACACUGGUACUUAAUAUCUUCACUACGGGGACGUGUUUUUAUAUUCAUUCUGCUUAUCAUUACUAUUUGGCGAUUUUAUACGGCUUUCAAAACAUAUGUGGGGGGAUUAAAAUAGUAAAGACUCUGGCCAUUAAUCUUCUGACCUCCAUAGACCUUUCCUAAUGUCAAUAAACUCAUCUAAUCACACCAAACACUCAUGACAAAAAUGCCUUCCAGUAUUGAAGGGGUUAAAGAUACAAUAAAGGACAUGAUGUAAGCAAAACACAACGAUAAACCUCGUAAAAAAAACCUUUAAUAUCUUUACACCUUACUCAGCUAAAUCACCAUUAUCACAACCAGCAUUGUAAACCCGUAUCAAGUAAUGUAUGUAGAGGCAACACAACACUUAACCCCAUUACAUCGUUUGAAAGACUCACAAACAACAAACAAGACUCAAGUGCUCCAUUAACCUGAAGGAGGAACAUGGACGUCACAGUGAAGUGCCUUAUGAAAUAUAUACAAAUCCAUUUAGCCUUAUCACUAACCCUUAUCUUAUCACAGAGCGACGGCGACUUUGCAGGUGGUGGUGGUGGUGGUGGUCUGUAGAUGGCGGCGGUGGUGGUGGUGAUGGAACUGGCAUGAGGGAAGAGAAGAGGAGGGAGAGACUGGGGUGGGGUAUACAAAGGAUGGACUGAGGUGAGGAGGGGGGUGUAUCUCUGACGUAAGUGCUGAUGUGUAGGGGUGUUGAAUGCUUCAAUGCUGAGGAACACUGGCUUGACUUUUGGUGUGAAAGGUGAAGGACAGACAGUUGGGAUAGAACAGGUGCGACAGGUUAGACAGGUAGCGAACAGACAGACUUAGGCCACAGAAAACCUAGGUGGAACUUGUUACGGGUACUUCUCAGGUCAAGGAUCUACAGACAGGAUAAAGGAAGGAAAUAAGAGGAAAGAUUAGGGAGACGCAGUGACCAGUAAGCUUGUAACUGUGAAACUGAGGAAUAAGCAGAAGACUGAGUGAACUGGAGGAGCUCAGAGGAAAGGAAAGGUAUCGUCAGAAAGGUUUUACUGUGUUAAUGAAUGGAUGAAGGUCGAAACAGCGAGACA